rnacentral:rRNA from 1 species
AUCCGGUGUGGGCGUUCGAGACUUGAGGGAAGCUGUCCUUAGUACGAGAGGACCGGGACGGACGAACCUCCGGUGUACCGGCUGUCGCGCCAGCGGCAUUGCCGGGUAGCCAUGUUCGGAUCGGAGAAACGCUGAAGGCAUCUAAGCGUGAAGCCGUUCCCAAGAUCAGGUCUCGCGGGGGCAACCCCCUGAAGGGCCGUCGUAGACUACGACGUCGAUAGGUCGCAGGUGUAAGCGUGGCGACACGUUGAGCCGAGCGAUACUAAUAGCCCGUGAGGCUUCUCCCU